CUCCUCUUUGUAUGUCAUAUGUGGGGGGCAGACUACCCCAUUUUAUCGAAGCUUGGCACAGACUAACAUUGGAUGUUUGGGUCCUAAAUACCAUUCUAGGUUAUUGGAUAGAGUUUGUGCAAACCCCAAUCCAAACCUCAGUGCCACGUUGGAUGGUGUUUUCCCAACAGGACAGGGACCUAGUAGUGAAGGAAAUCAGAGUACUACAAGGGAAAGGCGUGAUCUACCAAGUUCUGCCUUGCUCUCCCGGUUUCCUGAGCAACCUCUUCUUUAUGCCCAAAAAGGGCGGUGGUGAGAGGCCGGUUAUAAACUGCCUUCGGGACCUCCUCAGGUUGGAUGGUCAAACUCGACCUCUCACUAUCCCGAUAGCAGAGGAGUGUCACCAACUCCUUCAGUUUCAAUGAGACAAGAGAACGUGGAGGUUCCGGUGUCUCCCCUUUGGGCUGUCGUCUGCCCCAUUCACCAAGCUGCUGAAACCCGUGGUCGCCCUCCUGCACAGCAGAGUUGUCCGCAUAAUCAUAUACUUAGACGAUAUGCUGAUCAUGGCACACAAUGCUCACCUACAACGACAGCACCUCUCAUGAGCAUUAUCCUUCCUGAACAACUUAGGAUUCCUGAUCAACUGGGAAAAGUCAGUACUAAAUCCCUCCCAGUCUAUGGAAUUCUUGGGAUUCAGCAUAGAGGCGGUAGACGGGAUCCUCAGCCUUUCGCCCGCAAAGGUCAAACUCAUCAAGAAGAAAAUCCAUAGGACCUUGGCUCGCCCAGUGUUAACCUUGAGACAACUGUCCAGGAUAAUCGGCCUCUUCUGAGCCUCCAACCAUCUUCCCGGGGCCUCUUCACUACAGGGCCCUUCAAAGACUACAGGCCACACAAUUACGCUUUGGUCGCUCCUUCUCUGACUCCGUUCCACUCGACUACACAGCCAAGGAGGAACUCACCUGGUGGCUGCAACAUAUAGAACGGCAGAGCGAUCUUUGGGACCGCCGUGGAUUGUAUCAUAGAAUCCGACGUGAGCACACGCGGUUGGGGAACGAAUUGUGGUUCUAUCUCCACAGGUGUAAAAUGGUCCCAAUCAGAAAAAGAGCUGUACAUCAACGGCCUGGAACUCAUGGCGGAAUCAUUCGCCCUAAAGAACCUCAUCGGUCUCGCGACCAAUUGCUCCAUUAUUCUGCGAGUGGACAAUAUAUCGGCAGUCCGUUACACCAACCACCUGGGCUGCACUAGAUCCAAGAUACUGGCGGACCUAGCCACGGAAUUCUGGCAAUAUUGUCUGGAGCGCAAUAUAUAUUUUUAAGCAGAAUACAUUCCAGGUCUGUCCAAUACAAGACCAGAUUGGAAUUCCAGACAUCUACGAGUUACCAGCGACUGGAGUCUGGACCGUGAUGCCUUCCUACAACUGCAAACGCUCUGGGGCCCAAUGUAUAUCGACAUGUUCGCGGCUCUAUAGAAUUCCCAACUCCUGGUGUUCUUCAGUUGGAGGCCGGACAUAGAUGCUCUAGCAAUAGAUGCCUUCCUCCAGUCGUGGCCAGACAGGCGACUUUAUGCAUUUCCUCCUUUCGCCCUACUGGCUAAGACAUUAGUACACCUCAGCCGUUCUCGGAUGUCUUUGGUUCUCAUAACCCCAUUCUGGACAGCACAGCCUUGGUUCCCCUCACUCAUGGAGAUGUCUAUAGAUGUUCCCAGACUGCUCCCCGAAUCAACGCAUCUCCUAUUGGAUCCCGAUGGAAACCACACCCUCUUCUGGUACAGGGACAACUCAGAUUAGCGUGGCUCCUCUCCGGGGACCCUGGGUCGUGCCAGACGUGUCACAAUCAACUCUCAAAUUACUGGGAGCCUGGGCCCCUGGAACAAGACGAUCCUACGGUCAUUUAUGGAACUUAUGGAGUUUUGAACUUAUAUGAACUUAUAUGAUUCCGUAUGUGCUCCUGUGAACUGCCUAUUGCGUUUCCUUACGUACCUAUACAACCAAGGUCUGGCCUAUCGCACUAUUAAUGUCGAGACAUCGUGAACUAGAGGGCUCUCCAGCAGUUAAACAUCUUCUGGUGUGUCGACUCCUACGUGGCAUUAGAUUUGCAUGACCACCUCAACCUCGAUAUAAGUCAGCAUGGGAUGUGAACCUGGUUCUGACCUUACUAGAAACCUGGCCACG